UUGGGGGGGUGCCUAAUACAUGCAAGUCGAGCGGACUUGUUAGAAGCUUGCUUCUAACAAGUUAGCGGCGGACGGGUGAGUAACACGUGGGUAACCUGCCUGUAAGAUGGGGAUAACUCCGGGAAACCGGAGCUAAUACCGAAUAACACUUUCGCUCGCAUGAGCGGAUGUUAAAAGACGGUUUCGGCUGUCACUUACAGAUGGACCCGCGGCGCAUUAGCUAGUUGGUGAGGUAACGGCUCACCAAGGCGACGAUGCGUAGCCGACCUGAGAGGGUGAUCGGCCACACUGGGACUGAGACACGGUCCAGACUCCUACGGG
rnacentral:rRNA from 2 species